rnacentral:rRNA from 1 species
GACGAACGCUGGCGGCGUGCCUAAUACAUGCAAGUCGAACGCAGUGGGGACGGGUGAGUAACACGUGGGUAACCUCCCAUCAGAGGGGAUAACCCUUGGCAACAAGUGCUAACCCUAUACUGAUGGAUGGACCCGCGGUGCAUUAGCUAGUUGGUGGGGUAACGGCUCACCAAGUCCACGAUGCAUAGCCGACCUGAGAGGGUGAUCGGCCACACUGGGACUGAGACACGGCCCAGACUCCUACGGGAGGCAGCAGUAGGGAAUCUUAGGCAAUGGACGAAAGUCUGACCGAGCAACGCCGCGUGAGUGAAGAAGGUUUUCGGAUCGUAAAACUCUGUCGGUAGAGAAGCGGUAUCUAACCAGAAAGCCACGGCUAACUACGUGCCAGCAGCCGCGGUAAUAC